CAAUAGCGUAUAUUAAAGUUGUUGCAGUUAAAAAGCUCGUAGUUGGAUUUCUGGUGGGAGCGAUCGGUCUGGCGCUUAGCGCGAGUACUUGCAUCGUCUCCGGCCAUCCUUGGGGAGAGUCUGUCUGGCAUUAGGUUGUCGGGCAGAGGAUCCUCAUCGUUUACUGUGAAAAAAUUAGAGUGUUCAAAGCAGGCUUAUGCCGUUGAAUAUAUCAGCAUGGAAUAAUAAGAUAGGACUUUGGUACUAUUUUGUUGGUUUGCGCACCAAAGUAAUGAUUAAUAGGGACAGUUGGGGGUAUUCGUAUUCCGUUGUCAGAGGUGAAAUUCUUGGAUUUACGGAAGACGAACUACUGCGAAAGCAUUUACCAAGGAUGUUUNCAUUAA
rnacentral:rRNA from 1 species